rnacentral:rRNA from 1 species
CCUACGGGUGGCAGCAGUGAGGAAUAUUGGUCAAUGGACGAGAGUCUGAACCAGCCAAGUAGCGUGAAGGCUGACUGCCCUAUGGGUUGGAAACUUCUUUUAUAUGGGAAUAAAAUCUUCCACGUGUGGGAGUUUGUAUGUACCAUAUGAAUAAGGAUCGGCUAACUCCGUGCCAGCAGCCGCGGUAAUACGGAGGAUCCGAGCGUUCUCCGGCUUUAUUGGGUUUACAGGGAGCGUAGGUGGAUUGUUAAGUCAGUUGUUAAAGUGUGCGGCUCAACCGGAAAAUUGCAGUUGAAACUGGUAGUCUUGAGUACAGUAGAGGUGGGCGGAAUUCGUGGUGUAGCGGUGAAAUGCUUAGAUAUCACGAAGAACUCCGAUUGCGAAGGCAGUUCACUGGACUGCAACUGACACUGAGGCUCGAAAGUGUGGGUAUCAAACAGGAUUAGAUACCCGUGUAGUC